rnacentral:lncRNA from 1 species
UGAAAUCUGUGGUGCCAUAGCUAAUUCCAUGCUCUCCACUUUUUGUUUGGCAGUUAAACCGGUUAAACAAAACUAAUAAUACAAAUGCACUGAUUUUGCUUAAAGGAUGGAUAAUGGACAGCUGAUGGAGCUAAAAUAGAAGAGAUAAACCUGUUCCCAAUUUAUGAAAUCCUGAAAUAUUAGUCCCUGACUAUCAUUUGUCACAUUUGAGGCCAAAGCCACCCCAUUAUAAUCACAAGAAAUGCCAGUUUUCUUGAUAAAAACCUGUCAUCAGUAACAGUCUUAGUAAGAUUGAUUGGAUAAACAGCAUCCCGUUUGAUUGGGGAAAACUACCGACCAAAUCACGAAGUUCUUCUUCUCCUUUCUUUAAUGUCCUCGUGUACACCCAUGUGAGUGUGGGUGUAUUCACAAGGACACCUUUUUUCCUCAGUUUUUCAUCAGUUCUGGAGUAAUUCAACUCUUCAGCCAAUUGAGCAACUGUGGAUGCCUGGCUAAUUUCCCAGGCUUAAAGGUAGGAACAAUUCAAUUCCUUUUGACUAUUUGGUGGCGUUGAUUAUCAAUCGUGAUUGAUAUUACCGGAUAUUACUG